AUCCAACUGACGAGUCCCUAAUAGGACCAGACGCGCUUCCUAGAU
rnacentral:hammerhead_ribozyme from 1 species